GUCUCAACGCACCCUUAGAAUGUUGUGAAAGGAUCCAGGAUCCCAAAUUAUUUGGGUGGAUUCCAUCCUCCUUAUAAAAUGUGUUUUGUUUCCAAAAGGUAUCGAAAUUGUCAACAAAAGUUACACCAAUUAAACUGCAAUAAUCACGUAGCCGUUGUGAAGAGAAAGAAUCAUCCUGCUAAAGCGUUCAAUGCCACGAUUCAGAGAGGGUUAGGGUUAGGGUCUUUUAUUAGUUUCUAGCAGAGAAUCAAUCUCCUCUUUAAAAUCCAGUUUUAACUGUUCAGAGCUGCCCUUCAUAAUGUCAUUAAAACCCACAUGGACUACGAUAGAAUCGAUUUACAUGGGGCUGUAAUGAUCGUUGUUGGAAGGAUGGUCGGACCAAGAUGCAGCGUGGGGUAGGUUAAUCCUUUUUAUUUAUGAUAACCGGCACAAAACAAAAGAGUAACCAACGAAACGUACAGCUUUGUAGGGCUAAAAGCAACAAUACAAAAUCAAGAUCCCACACAUAUGGAAAAAAUAUGAUCCCCAAUCAGAGACAACGAUAGACAGCUGCCUCUGAUUGGGAACCAUACUAGGCCAACAUAGAAAAUAAAAAAACUAGACUACCCACCCAAGUCACACCCUGACCUAACCAAAAUAGAGAAAUAAAAGGUUCUCUAAGGUCAGGGUGUGACAGGGGCGUAGAACAUUUGGGAGCAGCUUAGUAAUGUAAUUUCCUCGAGCUCCUGGAUAGGACAAUGUUUUUGGACCAGGAACAGUGACAUUUGCUACCAUGGAGCUGCCCAAAAUCAUGGCUGGCGAGAAGGACAAGAAAAUCCGCCCUCUCCCAUGCUUCACAGGAUUCAAAGAAUUCUUUAAGGACGGGCGAUGGGCAGGAUAACUUGAGCCUGUAGCUCCCAGCGCCUGGUGCAGGCGUUCGACAGAUGGUGGGGGCGUUCGACAGAUGGUGCAGGCGUUCCACAGAUGGUGCAGGCUUUCGACAGAUGGUGCAAGCGUUCGACAGAUGGUGCAGGCGUUCGACAGAUGGUGCUAGCGUUCGACAGAUGGUGCAGGCGUUCCACAGAUGGUGCAGGCGUUCCACAGAUGGUGCAGGCGUGCGACAGAUGGUGCAAGCGUUCGACAGAUGGACAGAAGCCUCGCUCGAUCCAGAGCACGGAUGGAAGGUUGUCGACGACGACUUGGAAAUCAUAGGGGAAGGAGUAGGCAUAGCAACCGCAGACACAGGUACCCACAUCGAUGAAGGUGCAGGAAGAUCAGGCUCCAAACACAGGUACCCACAUCGAUGAAGGUGAGGGAAGAUCAGGCUCCAGACACAGGUACCCACAUCGAUGAAGGUGCAGGAAGAUCAGGCUCCAGACACAGGUACCCACAUCGAUGAAGGUGCAGGAAGAUCAGGCUCCAGACACAGGUACCCACAUCAAUGAAGGUGAGGGAAGAUCAGGCUCCAGACACAGGUACCCACAUCGAUGAAGGUGCAGGAAGAUCAGACACAGGUACCCACAUCGAUGAAGGUGCAGGAAGAUCAGGCUCCAGGGCAGCGAAACUAUUCGUUGUUUGUAUCUGCUCCAGGCCUCUCGUUGGGAGUGUAACCUGCUUUGUGGGAGGCCGCUGUCUUCGGCUUCCACUGCUCAUGAAAUG
ensembl:lncRNA